rnacentral:rRNA from 1 species
GACGGUACUUGAGGAAUAAGCCACGGCUAAUUCCGUGCCAGCAGCCGCGGUAAUACGGGAGUGGCAAGCGUUAUCCGGAAUUAUUGGGCGUAAAGCGUCCGCAGGCGGCCUCGAAAGUCUGUCGUUAAAGCGUGGAGCUUAACUCCAUUUAAGCGGUGGAAACUACGAGGCUAGAGUGUGGUAGGGGCAGAGGGAAUUCCCGGUGUAGCGGUGAAAUGCGUAGAUAUCGGGAAGAACACCAGUGGCGAAGGCGCUCUGCUGGGCCAUAACUGACGCUCAUGGACGAAAGCCAGGGGAGCGAAAGGGAUUAGAUACCCCUGUAGUCCUGGCCGUAAACGAUGAACACUAGGUGUCGGGGGAAUCGACCCCCUCGGUGUCGUAGCUAACGCGUUAAGUGUUCCGCCUGGGGAGUACGCACGCAAGUGUGAAACUCAAAGGAAUUGACGGGGGCCCGCACAAGCGGUGGAGUAUGUGGUUUAAUUCGAUGCAACGCGAAGAACCUUACCAGGGCUUGACAUCCUGCGAAUCCCUUGGAAACUUGGGAGUGCCUUCGGGAGCGCAGAGACAGGUGGUGCAUGGCUGUCGUCAGCUCGUGUCGUGAGAUGUUGGGUUAAGUCCCGCAACGAGCGCAACCCACGUCUUUAGUUGCCAGCAUUAAGUUGGGCACUCUAGAGGGACCGCCGGUGAUAAACCGGAGGAAGGUGUGGAUGACGUCAAGUCAUCAUGCCCCUUACGUCCUGGGCUACACACGUACUACAAUGCUACGGACAAAGGGCAGCAAACUCGCGAGAGCUAGCAAAUCCCAUAAACCGUGGCUCAGUUCAGAUCGUAGGCUGCAACUCGCCUACGUGAAGGAGGAAUCGCUAGUAAUCGCAGGUCAGCAUACUGCGGUGAAUACGUUCCCGGGCCUUGUACACACCGCCCGUCACACCAUGGAAGUUGGCCACGCCCGAAGUCGUUACUCCAACCCGCAAGGGAGGAGGAUGC